CUUUCUUCUUUUCAGAAACAUCUUUAGUACUUCCUUUAGCCUUGUUUUGCCUUUUUUUUUUUUCUUUCUUCAUUUCUCUUUUCAUUGUCCUCCACCUUAGGAAUCACAUCACAGCACUAAAAAGUACCUAAAUUUGGUCACAUAUGUUGCUGGUGUACUAGUUCGUAGGAUCCCUCUGUAUAUGCCAAGCAGUUAUAUGGGCUCCURUGGCAGAAGGUUUUGGAAGACUGCAAUGGAAUUGGUAGGUUGACCAUAGAAAUAUUUUUAAUGUUACUUUCAGUGCAUCAAAUCAGAGAAUUUUUUCUUGCUUACUUAGCUCCAACCCUGUCUCACACUUUCUUCCUAUUUUGUUGGGCAAUAAUAUCCAGUAAUAACUGUCAUUUCCCUUUUCUGCAGAAGGGAGUGAAUGUUACAGCUUUCAAGAUAUCACAGAAAACAGAAGUUUCUCUAAUGUGGUGUAUAAGUAGAAACACUUUCUAUCUGCUGAGACGAGGCAUAAAGGAAGCACGAGCCUCUGAGGAGACUGACUGUGAAGCAGGUUAGAAGUCUGCACAAACUUUGUCCAGCAUGCUGGAGCAUGGAAGAACAAAGAUGGAAGUGUCAAGCAGUUUGUUUUGCCUCAGAGAUUGCUGAUGUAAGACAGAGCAAUGUUUUCAUCUCCUUCAGUGAUGUGGAUUGGCUGAGGUUAGUGCCAACUCUUAAAUUUGGGGAAAGUGCAACUUUUCCCCUAUGCUAUCAGUGGAGAAAGAAAAAGCGUCUCAUUUUUAUUAAAGGUGGGUUCACUGGUCCUUUGCAAAGCAUCUUAAAUGGAUUGUUGGGUUAGCAGAAGCCAAUGAACGUGUGGCCCUUUUCUCUCUGGAAAAAUGCAACAAUUAAAAAG
rnacentral:lncRNA from 1 species